rnacentral:rRNA from 1 species
UACGAAGGGGGCUAGCGUUGUUCGGAUUUACUGGGCGUAAAGCGCACGUAGGCGGACUUUUAAGUCAGGGGUGAACUCCCGGGGCUCAACCCCGGAACUGCCUUUGAUACUGGAAGUCUUGAGUAUGGUAGGGGUGAGUGGAAUUCCGAGUGUAGAGGUGAAAUUCGUAGAUAUUCGGAGGAACACCAGUGGCGAAGGCGGCUCACUGGACCAUUACUGACGCUGAGGUGCGAAAGCGUGGGGAGCAAACAGGAUUAGAUACCCCAGUAGUCC